UUGCACCUCUUGAGUGCCAGCACCACCAGCACCGCCACUAGUGCCACCACCGCUCAGCCAUUCUGGUGAAAAAAGGGGUUCAUAGUAGACUGUAAAAAUUUUAGUAUGAAGGCAUUAGUGCCAAAUAGACAUGAACUCCAUCAUGUUACAUAAAUCUUCAAUCAAUCACUUGUUGUUUUGGGCAUGUAAGAUAAAUGGUUGCUUUGAUUAUUCAUUAAUCUACUUUUCGUUUUCUGAUGUCUACACAUUUCCAUUGUAGCAUAAUUUUAGUCUUCCAUCAUCCUCUAUCAUGUUGGACUAUGCAAAAGAUGAAUUUGCUUAUCCUUGCACGACUCCUCCCAAUUUGAAAAGAGUAGGAGCAAGUCUCUUUCUCACAUGUGAAACUCAUGAACAAUACAGUUUGAAUCUGUAAUGAUUAAAGAAAUUAAAAAGGCUGGUUGAAAAUGCAUCAAAAAUCAAAACACACCUCCUCGGCCUAAUGCAUUGCUCACGGGACCAUUAAGGGGAGGUCGGACAUGGAAAGCCGGGGCCAUGAUGACAGGGCCGGAAAGAAAAAGUUAACAGAUGUGGGUCUCAAUUGCUGUUCAAGAAUCAGAGGGGUGUGCCAAUAGGGGAAGUCCCAACAGCCAGUGGAGGAAACCAGCAAUUUCUUGAAAACCAGUAGCUGCAUGUAUGGCUUGAAAGGGUUGGUUAAUAUUAACCAGCAAUUUCUUAAGCAAAACGAUUAUGCCGAGAGGUUUUUGUCUAGUGAUUAAAUUUUAAGAUUUAGAAAUUUAAAUUUAAAUCUUUUUGCUUUCCUUCUUGCUUUUUAAAUUACACCAUUUCCUUGCUAGAAAAGAGAAGAACAAUAUAUCCCACCAUUUUCUUGCUGGAAGAAAAGGAAGAAAAAAGGAAAAAGAUGAUGACAAGACAUAUCCCUAAAGCGUUUAUUUGCUGGUCAUUUUUCCUCUUCAAUUGAAUAAACACUUGGGAUCUAUUCAAAGAACAAACCUCAGGAUAGCUGGAAAACAUUUUGGAGACAUGCCAAUUGCUAUAGAUAAACUGUGGAAAGCGUGCUCCAAAAGGGACCUUUCAAGUAGUAGUGUGUCUACAUUCAUGGUAGGGUUAGAACAAAUAAUUGAUGGCUAAGGGUGAAAACUGCAGACAUGAAAUGGAUCAAAGUAACACUUUGGGGCACAAAAUCACCUUCAAAGGUACUUUCUUGAUUUUUGUUUGGACAAUAAAUCCUUGAGGUGGUGGUUGGUUCUUGUACAAUACUUGUCGGUUAUGAUCUGGAGAUGCAGCUUCAAUACGUUAGGCAAAGGUGGAUAUGGAUAAUGAUCAACAAGAUGGAAUUAACAAAAAAAGAAAGAAAAACAAAACCAUGUUCUGAUGGGCACUUACAAGAUCUGAUGAAAUCUAUGAGGAGUAUUAUGCUUGCACUAAUCAGAAUUGUUUGAUUAUCUGUGUAUAAGCAUUUUGUGAUUGUUUCUCAACUUUGUGAGAAACUACUAUAUAAUUUAGCCUAGUUUUGGUUGGUCAAAAUUUUUACCACCAUGUAAUUUUAUUAACAAUUGAAAGUGUGAUGAUACUAUAUGCUUGAUUAUGCAAGUAACUUUUUUGCUUUGGGGUUCAAUCUAAUUAAAAAUUGCUUCAACAUUGUGGUUGGAUAAUUAGUUAUUCUUGACUGAUCAAAAGAGGCUUAUUAAAAGGAAACGAUAGGAUAAAUGCUUUUUUUUUUAGUACUGAUACACAGAUGAAUAAUUGACCAUUACAGCUCAAAAUAAUGACACAAUUAUGCUCCUUCAGAGACUAAUUAGUGCUAAAUUUCCACUGUGGAAUAGUUAAUCAUGGGUUUUGCAAUGUCCACUAUGAACUAUAUAAUCAUGAGUCCUGUAUCAAACUGUAGUACAAUGUGCUGUUGAGCACUAAUCAAACAGAGAUACAAUUAUGGCAGAUUUAAAUAGUGUAGUACUGUUGCCUGCUGCAAGUGUAACCACAUCAUGAAUUCAAUGCCCUCACAAUAAUUACCAGUUCUAUCAGUGGACCAUGAAACUAUGAAUCUAAUGCUCCCCAACUACAACGAGAUAAAUGUUCUGAUUCUCAUAAAGUAGUAAAUAUAUGUCCAAUAAUGCAGUCUGAAAACAUAUCUUAUUAGCUAAAUCUGUGCAUUAGUACAACUUAGAUUACACUGAUCUUCAGGAUGAUCUCCUUGUGAGACUAAUUUGUUAUGGUUUGUCAAUGACCUAUGACUUUUAGGAGAAAAAUAUUCCUCAAAAGUCUACACUUGUGACCAAUAGGAUGUACACUUGCCCACCUAAAAGGAGGGGAGACUUCAAAGCCACAAGAAAAGAUUAAACAAGACAUGAUAGAGCUUAAGGUCUUCACAAGCUAUCAUUCCACAUUCCAAGGUUGAAGAACACUUCUCUUCCAAUUUUUGCUGUUAUUUUUAAGUGAAUUUAAUACUAUGUGGUAUUGUGCCGUGCCCAAACUCAAUAGAUGUAUCACUUACACAUUGAUAAUCUUGCCUUAAACCCAAAUUAUCACACAAGUACUUUAAAGUAGAAACAAUGAGAGAUGGGAACCUCAUAAACUUUUAUUUUGCUUGAAAUUGUUUAGUCUUUAGAUGCCUCUUUUACUUUUUAUUUCAACAAAUUAAAACCACCCCUUUUCUUUAUUGCCUAGUGGACUAAGCAUGGUCGUAAAGGAAGAUUCUAAAAAUUUUUAAUCUCACAAGAUUUUGUGAUUAACAUAUGAGAAGAGAUGAAAAGAUUGACAGGCAGCUUAAUCAUUGGAUUUGAUUUUUAGUGAUUCUAGUGACAAAGCAAGGAUAAAUACAAUGCUGCUCCUGUUUCACAGCUGGAUCCAGUGCAUGGAACACUGAUAGCGUAUAACCUAGAACCAUGAACAAGAUUGAUUAAACUUGAUGGAGCCAUGCACCCACAGGGGCCAGGGGUGGACCAUGGAUUUCAAUGGAUUUUGGAACCCCCCCUUUUAUUUGGUUCCUUCAUUCACCAGAGGCUAUAUAGGACAAUCGUUUGCUUUUAAAAUUGUGGUUGCAGACAGCAAUUAUUGACAGUAAAGGCUCCCAGUCCCAUAUGCGAUGAGAAAUCUGUAGAAGAGAGAGAGAGAGAGAGUAAAAUGUGUAGGAGGAAAUGGUUUAUCUUGUCAAGUUGAAGGAUAUGGAAAUUUGGACCUCAAUUAUGUGCUCCAUUUAUUACCCAACAAGAAAAGAAAAUGGGAUUUUGGACCACAUCCAAUAAAUCAAGAAAAAGUGAUGGAUCGAAAAUUGCCAAUAAAAGUUGAGGAUAUUGACUUGAGAAUCCUAUGCUUUAGUGAGAAAUAGCACAGCAAUAGAAGCUGUUGGUAAUAGUUUGCUAAAGGGAUUUGGUCCUUAUAGAAAUACAUUAUGUGAAGUGCAUCAAUUCCUGCCCCAUAGAUGUACUUUUAACUAGUUUGUAUUAGAAACUCUGACUUUUGAAAGCCUCUCCAAAGAUAAAAAAUUACAACAAUAAUAAUCAAACUCCCAACACAAUGUGUACCAUUGUUUAGCCAUCUAAAUAAGCAGCACAGCAAUAGGACCAAUCCAUUAUUAUGUCUACAAAUAUGUUUGUUAUUUUGUAGAAUUUCAUACACGAAUUUUGUUUCUCAUUUGCUAAGUUCUAUAAGUGGUAGUAUAUGACUCACUAUCCAGACUCGAUGAAGUGCAUAAAUUGGCGAGUUUUGUUAUACUAUUUGCAUGCUAUUUUAUGAUAAAUCUUUUCUGCACCGUUAGUGUAAAAUUUCUUUUUACACGAGUAGCCUUAAAUCCAUGUCAACAUUUAUGAAAAAAGAUUUUGAAAUUUAAAUAAAAAUUGUAUGUUAUAUAUCUAAACCUGUGCAUAUAUAAAAAUUUUUAUAUUGACAGUGUAAAAAAGAUUAAUCUCACUUUUUUACUAUGUAAAACUCAGAAUUCAAGAAAAGAAAAUAAAGCAAUAAUAGCGGACACCUACUUGAAUGGAUUUGGGCCAAGUAAUUGAGGUGUAAGGUAGACAGCUACUUGAGUGGCCCAGUUAUGGAAAUAUCCGUCAGAUUCUUGCUUGAAUGGGCUUGUACCCAUCCCACCAAGUGCUGCUCAGAUUCAAGGCUGAGCACUAGAUGCCCAAAUCCAAGAGCAUCUUUUGCCAGUUUUCUCUAUGGGCUCAACUUCAUUCAACAGGUGCAUCAACAACAGACUCGGUUUUCUCGUCUGUGCCGCAUUAUUACUUGCAAGAGUCAUCAUGGACCUACAAUUGUUGGUCAAAUGUCUAAACAAGAUUUGUCUGUGUGCUACACCUACUGACACUGAAAUAUAGCUUCAAAUUUUAGAGUUUUGAUAACAUAAAAAUGCAACACCAAAGGUCAUGUUUUCACUGUAGAUAAGAUUUGUAGUAGCAGUGGCAAGUGGCAACAAAUCCAAAUGUUAGUAUAUUUAAGUUCAAACUUGAAGAUAAUAACUUAGGUUUAAACUCGAGUUGGACCUCAACUAAUGCUAUAUUCGCGCGCAACGGAUCUUCUGUCCCACAUUCUGUGCUGCUCUCUAUCUCAUUUUUUUAUUAUAUUGCUAUUUUUCCUUCACAAACAUCAUGUUUUAAUUCUUUUUUAUUUCCUUAUGAUCCAAUAACCAUUAAUUGAGUAAAACAUAAUAUUUAACAAACUCAAAAAAUCAAAAUGCAUAAAAAAUGAGAUUUUUUAUGAAUUUUCUGCUGUGUUUUUUAAUUUUCUAUUAUAUAUUAGUUUUUUUUGAAGCUGUUGUAUUUAUUUUUUACUCAAUUAAUAGUUAUUGGAUCAUAAGGAAAUAAAAAAGAAUUAAAAUAUGAUAUUUGUGAAGGAGAAAUAGCAAUAUAAUAAAAAGUGAGACAGAGAGUGGCACAGGGUGCGGGACAGAAGAUCCGUUGCUAUAUUUCAAGUGCUUGAAAUUGACUCGAUAAAAUACCAAGGAGUUUGAGCUCUCUCGAGCAAGCAAAAAGAGCUCAAAUUGAGUUCGAACUCGAGUUUGUCCGAAACAAGAAUUUGACCAUAUAUGGAGAUUUAGGCAAUUUCAUCAUUAUAAAAAAAAACAUAUAAAAACUCAACGAGUUUUCAAAUUGAAUAUCUUAAUGCUCAAAAACAAUGUGGUAAAGGGUUCGAACAGCUCGAGUUUAAGUCAAACAUUUGACUAAACUGCUCGUGAGUUGCUCAGCUCGUUGUCACAACUAAUCUGUAGUGGCAAGAAGAGAGUUUCUUAGACAUUACUCCCUCCGUUCCUUAUUAGAUGGCCUGAAUAACUAAUUCUCUUAGAUUAAGAAAGUUGGUUAUUUUCUAAAAGUCAACAAAAGUUUAACUUUACUUCUCAAAAUUACCCUUUAUCUCUCUUCAUCUCUUCAACUACUUUUAUUGUUAAUGCUACAAAUACUGCAUUUAAUUAUUUAGAGUUCCAAUUCAAGAAAGUUGAAAGGGUAAGCAAGGGUAAAUUUGGAAAAAAGUUCAUAAAUGCUUUCUUGAUAUCAUAAAAUGACAGAUAAAAAGAAACAAUGGAUUAGGACAUCUAAUAAGGAACGGAGUGAGUAUUGAAUAAUUAAUUAUUAAUUGGGAAAUGAAAACAACAAAACUUUAAGAGAGACGGUGUGAGAAAGAUCCUUACAGUGCAUGCUUUCUCCCAAGCCCAAGGAGCUCGAAAGUUCGAACCUUUUGACUAAAUCCGUGACAACCUGUGUUGCUUUCCGCUUUUUGAGUACUACAAAUCAAAUUUGACCUUGCUCACCAAUGGCAGUGAUGGCCACUGUCAGUUCACAGCUGGUUGUAAUUAAUCAUCGUAUUGACUGGGAGGAAGUUUUACACCGACCUUUCUUUUGUCCAAGGACCAUCUAAUACACAUGUACAGGUUUGUUUGGAUUGUGUUUUAUUUCCCCAAUUUUAUCUAUUUACAUCAUCAUUAUAAUUUCUAAUACACCUUUUUAUCUUUUUAAUUAUCUUUUUAUCUCACACACAUCACAUCACAAAAAAUGCUACAGUAAAAAUAUUCUAAAUAAACACAAUCCAAACAAACCCAUUUCUUUGCAAGGAGAGGUGAAUAAAAAACAAAAUUGGACCUACGUUAAAUACAAAUUUGGAAUUUAAUUUCUUAUCUUUCUUCAAUUUGUAGGUUUGAAGGGUUGGAAAUUGCUCAAUUUCCACUGGCUGUCGUUAGCAGAGACACAAUUAGUAUGUGGUGCCUAGGCCAAGAUUUUAUCGCCAAGCUUGCCCCCUAUUUGGAUUGUUAUUUUCUGCGGGAAAAUUACGUCGUUUUCCAUGAUCACAUUUUUCUAUUAUAUUUCCCUCUCACAUACAUCAAAUCGCUACAGUAAUUUUUUCAUGAAAAAUGCAAUCUUCGAAACCACAUGAAAUGUAACAAUAGCAGAAAUCUGUCUCUAUAUUAAAUAAUACUCCAUCUUUUUUGUUAAACUAUAUAAAAUGUAUUUUCAAGUCUAAAUUAUGUUCAAAUUUAACAAUAAAGAGUUUAAAAACGCCAAAAAAAAGUUUAUCCUUAAAUUAACAUAUAGAUAUUUAAAACAGUAUAUCCUUGGUGCAUCACAUAUUUAAUUAGGGUUGUGAUUAUUCAAUAAUAGCUCUACAAUAAUCAAAGUUUAUAAAAUGCAUCCGUUAUCUUCAACUCUAAUCUUGGAAUUUGACAUUUUUGAGUCUGUCUCCUCCCAACCAAACCACCCCAUUCCACUUGCUAGCACUUGAUUUUGACUAAUAACAAGGACUAAAAACCAACCUGCAGCUAGCAGUUUCCUGAUCAUCCUUCAUUCUCAGCCAGUAGCUCAGGGCAAGAACUACAAGCCAGAAGUCCAUCACCUUCACCAACUGGUUACAACCUUGAUAACAUGAGGUCCGCAGCGUUAAUUAUCCCUGGCCUUCAAUGGGAUCCAGUGCCAUCAAAAUUUGUGAUUUUACAGAUUGCCAAACUAUAUGGCAUACACAGACUAAUGUACAAUGUACAAAACUAGUAUCUUGAUGCAGAUUUAAUGUAUAUAUUGUUGGUUAAUUAGAUUCAGUCAGUCUGCUCGUGCUUUUUCUACAUUGAGUUACUUGGCCUGCAAUCCUUUCACUAAUGUUGUUAUAGAAGUGUAGGCGUGUACUACUAUAACACUUACAAAAGAAUAAUAAAAAAAGAGAACUAGAAAAGUCUUUCUUCCUAAAAUGAGGAUUAGAUUUCAGCUCAUCCCAUUUUUGAAUUCCUAGUCCGUCCUUUCUAUUCUUUAAGAAAACUAGGACCCCGUUUAGAUUGAAUUUUUUAGGAAGUUUCUGGAGAAAAAAAAAAUACUGCAACAUGACAUAUUUUUAAAACGUGAUAUAUGUGAGAUAAUCUGUGAUUAAAAUGUCUCUAUUUUUAAGAUGUGAUGUAUGUGAGAUAAUCUGUAAUUGAAACGUCGUUGUUGUUGGAGUGAGUUAACUAUAAUUAUCUAAUUUUUUGAAUUUAAAUUGUAUAUUUCUUGAAACUUAAGUGGCAAAUGACUUUCCAAAUUUAUAGACUAAAUUCAAACAUACAGAAGGCAAAAUUAUUAUCAAGGGUAGGCGAAGAACCAGUGUUGAUUCCCUACUACAUGAAGCACACUUGUUUCAGCAAUUUCGCUAGACUCAAAAUAUUUUAAGUAUUUAAUACCGAAGGAAGCUUCGGUAAUCAUAAGCAACAAAAUCCUAGUUGUUGCCAUUCCUGGAGAUGUUUGUCCUUUUCUCAUGAACUUAGAAGCGAUCUGUCAUGCUCAGUUUGGAAUUGAGAAUUCCGAUUGCUUUUUUGCUUAUUCUAAUCAUUUUUCGAAGUAUGAACUCUUGAACGAGCUUCCAUGCAUUAAAGCACCGUCCACUCCAGUUUACCUCUGACCGGCCGGUCUUCAGUCUUCACUCGGGCAUCUCCUUUAUGGUCCAUCCGAUGUUUUCGUGGCAUCCAAAGAUUUCAAUGCUGUGUCUUAUUGUCAUCCUUGUCCGAUUGGAUCCAGUCCAUACAGCUGUCCCACAUGAAUCAGAUGUACUCUUGGUCACUAUGACAUGGUACCAAGCGUCUAAUAGUAGUGUCUUAGCACGCAUUCUUGAAUGUAUUUUGAUUGAAUACUUUUUUUUGCUCGACAAAAUUUCUCAAUUGAUAAUAUUAUCUUGGCCAAAUUACAUAGGACCAAAUUUGUGUUGUUCUCAUCCAACUUGCAUAUAUGGGUCUUUUUUUUUUUCUUUUCUAAUAAUUCCUCUCAUCCCUCUUCAUAGCCUCUUGCAUCCAAUCACGAGAAUUCGAACUUUGAAUUUGAUAAUGAAAAGGAUUCUGAGAGUCUUGUCUUGAUUAUUUAAGCAAACCCUGAUAAGUAAAACCUACGUACUAUGUUCUUUGCAAAAUUGUACAAGUUAUUUGUCAUAAAUUAUAAUAUGUUUAUAGAUUGUACAUUGUGCUAAAAUAUUUGCACUAUCACCCCUUGUUGUGCAUACCAAAAUUACUAUGUGUAUUCUAAAUAUGACCAUCCACGUCAAUCAAUCCUAAGUCCUAACCGUCAAGAUGAACCAUUUUUUGAUCCAAUUAAGAGCACGGUUACACCUAACAAUAGGGAUACAAAAUGUAGUACUAAUAUUUAAGAGAAUCUCUAAAUUAAACAGAAAUUUUCGCAAGAGCAUAGGCAAUAUCCUCCAAUGAAAAGAAAAAGUUGUUUAGAGAAACCCUUAUAAUUUCAAUCUUCAAUUCAUCUAGACCCCACCCCAACGGUCCCUCAAAAGUCACAACAGUUAAACUACUCUAAUCCUUGCAUACAUUAAUUAAUGCAAUUAAAGUACUAUAAAGCAGGAAACCUAAUUGACCCAUGGACCAGUCCUACUCCUGUGAACUCAAUUCUGAACUUUCCCCCAAGCUUCGAGCUUUCAAACCACGCGGAUCUUCACAGCUCACAAGAAUCUGUACACUAAGUUCUCUUUCAAUUCAAUAAACUGCCUUGUGUGUAUCCUCCUGCCUACUUACAGCUCAUAGGUCUCUCACCAAACACCCAAGUCUUUCUAUUUCCUCGUAACAAUAUAAACCCUCCUCAGGCCUCCCAUCUCAGAGCUCAUACAGCCUUACUUCUCCAUCUUUUACAGUACCCAAAUAGACCUCACGUUGUACUAAAACCAUUUCAGCUUUACACUACAAGAAGGAAGAAUAGAUAUCACAUCAUUAUCUCCAACCAUCUCAACUGGAUCAUGGGUAAAUCUGUUUUCGCUUUCUUGAUCCUGUCUGGGAUUUUCAUGGUACAAUCUAUGGCUGCUAGAUCAGAGCUGAAGGUCCAAGAACUGGUCCAUUUGUCAGCAAAAAUGGAGAGAAGCAUAGCUGAUCCACCAGCCGUUGACAAUGGGGCAGCUGAUCAUUCAAAAGAAGAAGGCGGAUUAACAGAGGAAACGGCUGCUGAAGCUCCUGAUCAAGUUGUAGUUAGAAAGAUGUCUAAGCAUCAUUCAACUGAUAAGUCUGUUGCUGGUGGUGGUGUCAUUAUCGGUGGACUUGUGGCUGCUGUUUUUGCUGCUGUUUAUUGCUACAUUCGGGUCACCAGAAAGGAAUCAUCUUCAGAUGUUGAAAAACAUUAAGCAAGAACUUAGUAAUUUUCACUUCAACUGUUGGAGUUUUAGAGUUAUAUAUAUUAUGCACGAAUAUGUAUUCUCAUUACUCCACGAUUUUACUAGCCAAAGAACAGAGAGUAGGUGUGAAUAUUAGAGACCAGAAGAAUGAUACGCUGAGAUUUUAUAGUGCUAUUUUGGUGAGGGAUUUGAUUUAUUUUUCAUACCUUUGAAUCAAAGGCUUUGAUGAUGGGCUUUCAAUUUGGUUAUGUACAAAUUGAGGAUAUUGGAAGUGCAAUUAUCAAUAAUAAUAUACUCCUAGUUGUUAAUUCUGCACAAAAAAUAUAAAAGAUUUCUAGCUUAAUAUUCUCUUUUAUAAUUACUCUUUGUUUAUGUACUUGCGUGGUUUAGAAAUGGUUGUAUUUACAUAUGUUUCGAUUUUCAAGAACUCUCCUUUCUCCAGCCUCUCCCUCCUGUCUCAUAAGAUUUGAAGUAUCGUUAAUUGACACAGAAGCCGUGGAAUGUGCCGUAGUAGGUGGGAAUCCCCGAGAAGAGCGGAGUUAGAUUUGAAGAUUCUCAAGUGUCUGCCCUCCAAGCACAAAAUUCCAAAUUCCACAUUCUAUAUGUAUAUAGUAAGGUACAAAUUCAAUUUUAUUUUCCCCUCCCUUUCUUUACAAAUAAUAAUAGUAAUAAUAGUGAAAGGAUUUUUUUUAAUAGGCGUCUCAAACAUUUAUUCAUUAUGCCAUAAUUUACGUCGAACUAAAUUUUGUUUGAUAAUUCAAUUCAGUACUUAAAUUUAAUCAAUUCAAAUGUUAACAUAUUCAAACCUUUUGAUAACCAGAAAUUGAACAUUUGAAUUAAUUAAGUGGUAUUGAAUUUCUUAGGUAAAACUUACUCUUAAAAUUAAGUGCUAAACUAUUUACUUAUCAUUGAAUGUGAUAUGCACUCAAAUGUAUUAAUUUUAAUAUUUAACAAUUCAAUAAUUUAAUGGAUUUCAGAUUUCAGAUAUCUGAUUUCAGAAUUCAAUUUUAUUGGACGCACCCUAACUAUUUACGUACACAUACACACAUCCACCCUGUAUUUAGAUACAUUUCAAAGUAAUUUUAUUUUUAUUAAGAAAUUAACACUAAAAACUUCUCUCAACGAGUGUCCCUAGCGUCUUAGCCAAAACAAAAUAACUAGUCUUGUAAACAUUUAAAAUCAAAACCCCAAUUUUUAAUUCUCCUGGAAUCUUGGAGCUUUGGGCCAAGAAAAAAUAGUCAAAGAGAAUUACCGAAGGUCCUCCUAUUCCUCACUUGCCACCCUCACAGGUGCCAAAUGGUAACAGCAACUCCAUGUCUUCUUCUAAGCAACAAAAGAUCUAGAUCCCACGUGCUGACACACCACUAGGUUCACGGUAAGGAGAUAGGAACGAUUGUCAUACCAAUGGUUCUUGAAAUAGUGUAAUGUGAUUUCAGCCAGUUAUAAGACACGUUUAAUUACUUAUAUAUAACUUGAUAACAUUGAUGUGAUUUUCUAUUCCUGAUUAUGUGAAUUUCAUAUAUAAUAAUUAUGUGUUGAUUAUAAAAUUUUAUAAGUAGUUAGGUGUGUUAUACAACGUAUUAAUAAAUUACCAUAUUGUACAAUUGUUCCUGCCCGGUACGGCGGUACCUGAGUUCACUCUGCCUCAAAGAGUUGUGGUUAUGUUGUUUUGCUCGCCUAUAAAGAGAGAUUAUAGGAAUAUCAACGCUCAAUUGAAAACAAGAACAAUCAAGUAUGUGCUUAAUCCAAGCCCCAAGAAUCCAUAAACACAUGGGUUAAGAGCUAAUCUUCUACUAGAGGAAAACCUUGGAAAAUGCUAAAACCAAAAUUUGAAGUGAUCAUAAAUGAUAAAAAAAAAAAAAAAUGCGGUUUGACUUUUGACUUUUCACAGGAUCACUUAGAAGACCUAUUCAAGGACGAGUUUUUCUAUAGGUCCUGAAAAGUUGGAUAAAUUUUCUUUCGCUUCAACCAGGGAGGACAGCUUUUCUUUUUCUCUUCUUUUUUAUUUGCAAAUUAUUUCGUUCCAUCUUUUCCUUUUUUUUUUUUUUUAAUAUUUUUAACUUUCCAAAAUUUAAGCUCCUUUCAAACCAUUUAGUCGUAAAUAAAUGAAAGGAUUUUGCAAAGAGGAGUCACAAUAAUGUCAUCAGUAGGCUUUGUUUAAGAUUUGCACAUUUCUUGGAAUCUGUUUUAUAAUCGUAUUAAGAUUGGCCACCACUUUCUCACUUUUCUCAACAAAACAUCCAAAAUUCAUAGUGGAAAUCAUCAAACAUGAUUCUCUAACAGUUGAUUCUCAGGCAUACAGUUUAUGGAAUACUAUGAACUAACUCUAACCGGCCAUAAAUAACAAGUGGUAAUUUUUCCGUUCUUAGGGCUAACAAAUGUUUUUUUUUCCAUGGAAGACAGGUUUUUCUUUUAAAAAACUUUUUUUUCUACCCUGCCACGUCUCCCAUAGCCUUUUCACUCCCAACUAUCAGGUUUAGAAUUCGAACACUAAAUCUAACAAUAGAGAGACGGAGAAGACAAGUGUUAAUUUGUUAGAGGGUCUUCACUUUGGAGGUAUACAUGGGUAUGCAAAAAAAUGAAUCUUGAUAUUUACAUGUGCUGCCAUUAAACCAACUUUCAAAAUUGUUUUCUAGAUACUGACAGAAGAAUGUUACAUGUCUCAGCUAAAGUUAACAGCAGGUUCCAAAAAUGGCUUGAUGACCCUCUAAUGGUUAUGUUGCAUGUUUCACUCGUAGCACACAAUUAUACAUCAAGCACGUGUAAUAUAUCUUGUGAUGUUAUGGCAGUUUUGUCCUCGUUCUAUACCUAUAUAUAUUUUGGGUUGGAGGGUCUUGAGCCUGCAAAUUUUGUCGUCGUUCUAUCAAAUAUUGAACUAAUCAAAGUACUUAUGUAAGAGACGAAAAAGUAAUUCAGUGUAACAUUUUAAAACCAUUCUUGGAACAUAUUUUGCGUGUACUUUCGCGUAAAUCUUCAUUUAAUUGAAAACUUAAAUGCAUGCAAUAUCAAGACAUUUUCACAUUAAAUUAAAAAGAUGAGCAUAAAGGGGAAUGGACGUGAAUUUUAGCCACAUUAAAGCACUAAUUGAACCCUAACUCAAGCUACAAGAGCUCAAGUUCAAACUCAUUAAAUUCCUAAAAGUAGAAGUAAGCUCAAGAUUGAACUCAAACUUGAUAACACUCAAGCUUGACAACACAUCAAGUUGGUCAAUUUCAUACGAAGUCAAGUUGCUCAGUUUGUUAAUUUCUAGUUCAAGAAACUUGAUUUAUAAUUUUCUCUCUACUUAUUUGCUCUCCCUGUCUUUUAUCUAUUCUCAACCUUCUUUCCACCUUUCUCUAUUGGAGGGAGAUCUUGAUCUCAAACUAAGGUCUCCUUUCCUCUUCUUAUGUUUUUAUUUUAUAUUUAGUAAAGUCUCUUAUAAGAUAUUUUAGUGAGAGUUUUCCCUCUCCUAGUAUUUAUUAAUGAGAAUUUUGUUUAGUUUUUUUAUCAUUUUUCUCAGAUUUAAUUUUUUUAGAUUUAUAUGUUAGAUCUGGAAUUUAUUGGAUUUUGUCGUCAGAUCUUAAACAUCAGUUUUGAAUUUAAACCAACUGGAUAGUAGUUAUAAGAGAAUAGACAUACACAUACAUUUAUAGAGCAACUUAUGCAGUUGGUUAGAUUUGAUGAUUUGUGAUUCAUAGUGUAGCCUUUCUUAUUUUGUAACUCUAUUACAUCUAAUGAUUUUUUUCAAAUAUGAUAUAUCCAUAAUAUGUUCUAUGUAAUUUCUGUCGUUGGUGCAGCUUUCUUUGUCAAGCAAAUUAUGCUGGAAGAUUUUCAACUAAUUUAUUAAUAAUAUUGGCUUCUGUUGCUCAGUUUGUUUAUGUAAGGGGAAUUACAUCUUAAUUGAAAUAGACGUAAUUACUAUAGAAAUUAUGUUUGGAUUGCUUGACUUUGCAUAUGGAUUCCUGUUUUCAUCAAAAAUUUGUAUUUCAAAUACAGGUUUACAAUAAUGCUAAUAUAAAAAAUACUCCCAAUAAAUCCAAAACUUCUAAAAUCUAAAUACAACUUACCUUAUAAUUACAAAAUAAAUAAAUAAAAAUAAAAUAUCAUCCCUUUUUCCUAUACUAAUACUCUUGCCACUACUUUCCACCUUCUGUUGCUACAAUUCCCUGUUUCUCUUCCUUUUUUCUAUCUUUCCCCUUUGUCUUCCUCUCUCUUCUUGCUUCUGUCCCUCUUCUCCUCCUCUCAUCUUCCUUUUCUUUCUAGGGCUGAAUCUAGUUAUUGGGAGGGAAGAGAAGAGGUCAGAGAGAGAGGAGAUGGGACAAGAAGAGGGAAAGGAAGGAAGGAAGAUGAGAGGACAAAAAAGGAAUCACAUUGACCAAAUCUGAGCAAGACAACAAGAUUUGGUUGCAGAAAGAACGGAAGGGGAUACAAGGGGAAGGGAACAAGGAGGAGAAAUGACGGGAAUAAUGGAAAAGAGAAAAAGGGAGUAGAGAGGAGGAGAGAAGGCAAAGAAAAAGAGGAAGAUCAAUGAAUGGGAUGGUAGCAGUGCAACAUCAUGCUACUAAGAGAGGUGAGUAGAGGUGGAGGGUGGUAUUGCUAGGAGAGGGGGGGGGGUGGAGAGGGAUGGUGGAUGGUUGUGGUAGGAAGGAUAAUUAAUUUUUUUAAAAUAUCUCCAUAAAGUUUUUAAAUUUUAAAAAUACCUUAAAAUACAUCUACAUAGUGAAAGUUUUUAAAGAAAAUCGUUCAAAAUAGUUUUCAUAUUUUGUCAAAUGAAAAUUUUCAUUCUUCACUUUUAAAAUGUUACUUUUGUGUUUCUUACAAAUUUAAGUCAGUAAAGUUUAGUUCCAACCUAUGUUUCCAACCAUUAUUUUUACCAUGAAUCCAUCAUGUGAUUUACAUAUAGUCACUUUUUAGAGAUAAAAAGAUUAGAUACCACUUGUUGAUAGACAAAUGACUCGAUCCACAAUCAUUUUUUCUUUAAAAAAAAUGUAAUAUAACCCAAACUAUAUCCAUUUUUUUCUUAAAAAAAAGUAAAAUUUGACCCUAUUCAUAUUCAUUUUUGCCCUUAAAAAAGUGGUUUUCAACCUUUUUUAUACCUAAAAAAUAGCCACAAGUGAGUCAUGUAGUGAUUUUACAUUAAAAAGUGGUCGGAAACCUAGAUUAGAAUCAAAUUUUGUUGACUUGAAUUUGUAAAGGGCAUAAAAUUAACAUUGUAAAAGUGAAUGACGAAAAAAAUUCAUUUAACGAAAUGUGGAGAUGUUUUUAACGAUUUUUCCAAGUUUUUAAUAUAAAAAAUUACAAUAACGUAUUUUAUAAAUACUUCUAAAAACAGCUAAUCCAAACGGUCCACAAUUUUCUCAAAUAUUAUUUUACUAUAUCAAAAACGUGUUUUCAAAUCAGCUUCUUAUUUUCCUAACUACCUUUUUGUCUCACAUACACAUUUUCAAUUAACUUUUUUUCUUUUCAAUCUUUUUUAUCUCACAUACAUUACAUUAUAGUGCUAUAAUAAUUAUUCCAAAUAAUGUUUUAAAUAAUCUCUUACCGGAAUGCUCUUAGGAUUUUUCUUUUCUAUGUAUGCUUUUGGUCAUUAUUAAGGUAAAGAAUUGCUUUUUUUCUUUUUUAACCCAAUCAAAUAUUGAAUUUCUUGCAGUUCGAGUCUGGUUCUUAACACACUAAUGGACUUUUUAUUUUGUCCUACAAAGCUGUUUGGUUCUUGAACCACUUUCUUGCCUUUCCAUCGUGAUUGGUUCCUCUCAUCCAGACGCGCUUGUCUUUGCUUUCCACGCCUUCGCGGCAAGUGUCUUGAACUUUCAAUCAUCUGGUCUGGGCCGUACUUAAAUGCAUUUUGGGCUACAUUGCAAUCAUACUCGUGGCUCAAAAAAACUGAAAAUUCAAGAUUUUAAAAUUCCUAUUGAUGCUUUGAUUUAAUGCCUAUGAGGUGUUUGUCCAUAUGCUUGAACCAUCAAUUCAUUAUUUCACGCUUUCCAUAGAUGUUUUCUUGUACUACAAUGUAGAUUUCUGGGGCUAAAAAUAGAACAUCUUCAGCCGAGGUUCAAAAGGCCCUGACGCUAUUUUUGGCCUGAAACACACAUUGGCAAUUUGCCUAAUGAGCAAGGAGUAAAUUUCUAAAUUAGUAAUACUUUUGAAGGAAAAUUCCAAAAUAGUGAAAAUUCCGAAACAAAACGUGUCUUGUAAACAAGAGUAAAAUAUAGUUUUGUAUCUAAACUUUAUCCUUUGAGCAAUUCUAGUAUCCAAAUUUUGGAUAAAAGCAAAUCUACCACAUUUGGUACCCUUGAUAGGCCUUUUUUUUUUUUUUUUUUUUUCAAAUUUCCAAUGAAAAAAUCACAUGCUGUCACAUGCUUGACAACAAAAUUGUGAAAAAGAUUUUACGUUUAUACCUAGUUGAAGGAUCUUCAAAUUGUUGUUUCAAACUCUUACAAAUAGAAAAUUUCGUAAAUUUUUUCUUAUGAUUUCAUGGUUGAAUCCAUAAAGGUUCGAUUGAAAUAAGGGUAUCAAAGUUUUUUUUUCUUUUUUUAUGAGAGGGUAUGGAUAGGAGAGGGAAGUCUUAAGCGUGUAUGAUUAUUAGCUCAAUUGGGUAUUUUUAUAGCAUAAGUUAUUUUCUUUUUAAAUGUGUGACUUAUAUAUUCUAUUAGUCCUUAGGGGGGAAGGAUGGGUUGGGUGUUACGGGAGAAGGGAGUGUAAGCAAGAGGUCUCAGGUUCGAGUCCUCCUACUUACACUAAAAAAAAAAAAAAAAUUAGUCCUUAAACUGGCCACGAGUUAAUAGGUAUUUUAGUUAGCAAAUGAUUUUUUUUUCCAGUAGGAAUUUGAAAAAACCCGUGAAAAAUACCAAAUGUGCUUAAAUGUUAGUAUACAUCAGGUACCAAAUUUACUUUCGCAUUAAUUUUACUCUAAACAAUGCAUUGUGUGAAUACUCUCUUCUAAGGAAACAACUCAUUGUGUGAAUACAUCUUUCUAAGGAAACCACGAGAAUGCCUUUUUAAUCCUUCUAGGAAGAGGCUCUAAAACACCACCUUUUGGGAAUUAAUUUUAUAAAUACUCACUUUUUGGAAAUUUACUCGGAAAUGUGGAGGUAUGACUCGAGUGCCAGUUUGGGUCGAUCAAACGUGCAUUGUUAAGCAUACAAUCACCAUGAACUUUCAUUUGUUCCGUGUGAAGUCAGUCUUACACUUACUGUUGUCAUUGCAAGACAGCUUGCUUGGAUAGGACCAGAGCCAAAGUUGAUGAUUGUCUAAUGGUCCAAACUUUCUCAUUGCAUGAUUCUGAAAUAUCUCAGCUCUAUUUUCCGAAUAAUUGUUGUGAUGAAGACUGAUGUUUCUUGUCACUUUCUUAUUCCCUUUGGGGAAAAUUCAGGGCUAGACCUGAACUUUUGGAAAGCAAGUCGUUAGUGGGAGACAUGCUUUUGUCUUUUAAUCUCAUGGAUAGAAAAAGCAUCUCGUAAAGGAAAUUGACCUAUUAUGAUGGCUGAAUAGACAGUCUUGUUCUACGUGAAGUUAAUAUGAGAAAAUACCAGCUAAAACAGCAAAAUCAUGUCUGUUCAUUCACAGUACUGCAAAGGGAAUUUCACCACUGGGAAUCCUGAAUUAUAAAGCUAUAAACGAUCUUCUUCUAGUUCCAGAAAUUGCAUAUACAAGAUAAAAUAGGCUCCACUGACAAGAUAGUCCAGGAUAUUCCAACAGCUUGUUUGAAGCAGCACAUAUGUGAUCAGCAUACCAUUCCUUGGAGAUAUUGAUCUGUACUUUUUGGUAAGUUCACGCUUCUGUAAUAUCUGUAAUAGUUAUGGUUCUGACCGCUUCUUCUUAUUUAAUCUGAAUUUUUUGUUCUGUACAUGAACUAAGGAUGUAAGAGACUAAGUAGGAAUGCUUCCUUUCUCCAAUUUAUUCCCAAGAUCUUGAAGAACAUACGCUGUUAAUGCCUUGACAUGGACCUUCUUCUAAUAUGGAAAGGCGUGCCAGAUUUACAGGAUGAUUAUAUAUCAAUGAUGUUUUGAUUUGAUUUCUUGUACUUCAGUAUCCAUUGGACAGGUUAACAACCUUGGGAGGUGGUUCCUGUGGUAAGGCCACGAUUGUUAGUCAACUGAAACUUUCUAUAUUCAGUGGGAUAAAACACCGUAACUCCGGGAAGCAACUUUAUCCUAUUCCUGAAAUAUGGCAUGUUUUGCUUCUCAAAAGCUGAAAAUGGAAGGCUAUCGUAGUACUAGAAAAGGGAAUGAAGAACUAUGAUUAGUCAUUGUGAAGUUUUUCCUGUUGGUGAGUGUGAAUUUCUUUAGACCCAAUAGGAGUUAAAAUCCAAGGGCGCAUAAAACUAGGUAAUGACUCAAAAAAAAGGUAAAAUAAACAGUUCGAACACAUAUGAUAUAAACUUCUGAAAGAUCAUUUCAUAAUGUUUUCAAGACUAAUAACUAUGUCUUCUCAAGAAAUCUGUAUUAUCAGUCUUCUUAAGUUAAAGCAGCUAGACAAAUAUAAAUGCGUCCAAAUAAUAUGCUUGUUAAUGUACUUCUCCCAGAUUGAUCAGAGAUGUCUGCAAUUUAUGACAAUUGGGAAAGGCUUGUUCGAGCCACCCUUCGCAGGGAGGAUCUCCUGCUCACUGCUCUAAGGACUCCCAGCGAUAUUUCUACAGUAUCAGAAUCAUCCUCUUUUAAUUUCUCUGACCCCUCUCACUCAGCUUCAUCUUUCAACAUCUCCAGCUUACUAGUUGGAGAUUCUUUUACCUACCAUCAAAAUCUCCAAGCCACAGACUACAUUAGUGGCACCAAUCUCAUCAAGCACCGCGGCUCAAAUGUUGGCCUUAAGGGUGCACUAGUGAAUGCAGUAGCUCAAGAACUGGUGAAAGAUUUAGCUCGUGCAACCCAGCACGAAAGCAGAUAUGCCCUUCAAUUUCCAACUCGGUUCAGAAUUUUGGAGGAAGAGCUGAAAUUUAUGCAAUCAUUUGUGGCUGAUGCAAGCAAGCUCAAAGACGGGCAAGAAACAGUCAAGGCAACCUUACAUGUACUGCAACAACUGAUCUACGAAGCAGAUGACCUCGUUCUCGAUUGCAAGAUUCAAGACGAUUACCGAAAAAUGAAGGGGACUUCCGGCUUCUAUUUAUAUCCCUCUGAAAUAUAUUUUCGCUAUGAGACUGGAAAGAAGCUGACAGAAAUCACCACCCGAAUUAAACGUAUGAGUGAAUACUUGAAGUCCUAUUACACCCCAAGUCAGCGUUCAAGUAGUGAAAAUGGCAAUGACCCAAAGAGGCGUUGGACUGCUCCGCUUAUCGACCAAUCUGAAGUCGUCGGCCUAAAAGAAGAUGUGGAGAAAGUAAGGGGCUGGAUUCUUGGUCAGAAUGAACCGCUGCUUCUUGCAAUUGUGGGGCUGGGGGGUUUGGGUAAAACCACCCUUGCAAAAAUGAUCUACAGAGAUGUGAACCUCACGAGACGCUUCCAGGAGAAAAUUUGGGUUUCAGUUUCUCAACCUGUCAAUGAGGACGAAAUCAUGAAAAGCAUGUUGAAGCAACUCAAUGCAGAUGGCAGCGGAUCACCUAAAGGCGACAUGCUGAGUACAAUUCAUGGAUUGCUUUCAGACAAAGCAUACCUGAUUGUCCUGGAUGAUGUUUGGAGCACUGAUGAUGGUUGGUGGGAACGGAUCUCUGGUGGGCUACCCGUGAAAGAGGGCCACAACAGCUGCAUUAUCAUCACAUCAAGAAUAAAGACGGUUGUCAAGAAUAUGGGAGUUCAGGAUGCACAAACUCAUCAACCCAGAUAUCUUAAUGAUGAAGAGAGCUGGAAAUUGUUUUGCAAAGUUGCACGCGUGUCUGAAGUUGAUGAACAAAACACCAAGUUAGUUGAAGAAGGAAAAGAAAUUGUUAAAAAAUGUGGGGGUCUUCCCCUAGCAAUCAAGACCGUCGGUGGUUUACUCUCAUCAGAGGAGAGGUCUUCCAUUAAGUGGAGGAAGAUCCGCGAGACCUUUCAUGAAAAGUUAACGAGUAUAGGAGCCAAUUGUUCGGAGCGUAACCCGCAUGUGAUUGCCUCUCUGCAGCUAAGCUAUGAUGAGCUUCCUGCUUUCUUGAAGCCAUGCAUAUUGUGCUUCUCGAUUUAUCCAGAGGAUUAUGAAGUUGAUGUUGACCAGCUGAUUCGCUGGUGGGUAGGAGAAGGAUUUCUCCGCGGCAUGAGCUCAGAAACUGCGACAGAAUUCGCUUUCAAGUCAUUGUCAGAGCUUAUCAGUCGGUGCCUGGUUGAAGUAGCUCAGCGAAGAAACUUUGAUGGCAGUUUUUAUACCUGCAAGGUGCAUGACAUGGUCCGAGAUUUGACAAUUAAAAUAGCAAAAGAAGAAGAUUUCUGCAGCUUCGAUGCAAAUGGAAAACAUAUUGCUGACGUCUGCUCCCGUCGACUUGGAGUCACACAAGAGACAAAGUUAUCUGCCCUUCGAGGAAACUCAAAGCUCAGGGCAUUACUUCUAACCACAACCCAUUAUAUCAGUUUCAAUAGGAAUACAGAGUUGGCAAAAAUCAAGUCUCUCAGGGUACUGGACCUCUCACAUGCCAGACUAGACUAUGUUUUUGUGAAGGAUCUUUGGAACUGGAUCACUUCCCUUAAACGCCUAGCUUGUUUGAGCCUCAGAGAUGUUGCACAAUUGCUUGAAGUCCCAAACUCAAUCGGCAAAUUAUUGGGCCUCCAAGUGCUGAUUCUGGGAGAAUGUAAAUAUCUUAAAAAGCUUCCCACUUCAAUUGUAAAACUUCCAAGAUUAAUCAUCUUGGAUGUUGGCAAUUGCCCAAGUCUUCGGUGUUUACCACAAGGGUUCUCGAGACUUUCUAAUCUCCAGAAGCUGUAUGGAUUUAAGAUAGCUGGUCCUGGAAAUGCUGCCGGUUCCCACCUUGCAGAGCUGAAGGCUCUGACUGAACUUCGUGUCCUGCAGAUAGACUUAACUGAAGAUAGCACUAUUGAGGAUCGGGAAUUGGAUGCGUUGGAACUGCUGGAGAAACUAAAGCUUUUGUCCAUUAAUGCAGGUGAUUGCAAAGAUAAGAACAUUUUAAGCAAGAUGAAUAAAUUGUCACCCCCUUCUUCCAUCGAGGAAUUGUAUCUGAAGCAUUAUCUUGGAGAAACUACGCCAGCAUGGAUUAAUCCCAGGUCACUUCAACAACUGCAGUAUCUUUCUGUGGAGAACUCAGGAAUAGAAAAGAUGAACCAAGAAUUUUGGGGAGAUGAAGAAUAUAAAUGGGAUGUCAAAGGGUUGUGUUUAAAGUUCUGCCAAAGACUUGAGGUGUCAUGGGAAGAAUUGCAAGCAGUGAUGCCUCAGAUCAGACACCUGGAGGUUAGCCAGUGUAAUUUACUGGCUUCAUUUCCUUGUGAUGUUGAGGCUGUUGGGUUCUGGCACAAGGACACUAAGGAAAAAAAUGUGUCAGAGAAUGUAUUCAGUCAAGAAGAUUGAAAGCAGCUAGACGACAUGGUGUCAAGAGGUUAGUCAGUGUAAUUUGGUGGUUUCAUUUAAGAUUGAAAGCAGCUAGAUGACAUGGUCCGAUCUUGGGAAAGCAUUAUCAAAGUUUGACGUGAUCUGUAUCCCGGUUCUUGGACAAUAUGUUGUGGCAUUUGUUAGUGAUGUGAAGUGUAUUUGUAUAUGCUGAACUUUACUAAUUUACUCAUUGUUACUUUUUUCUCUUCCAUGUUGAUCAUGUAAGCCUAAUUUGGAGUUGGUGCUUUCAAAAUAUGAUUUUUCCUUUCUAUGAUGGUGUGCUUUUAAUCAUUACUAUACUAAGUGGCGAUAGAAAUAAACUAAAAGAUGGCCCAUCUCAUUGAUUUUAGAAUUGCACGUUUUGGAAAGAAACAGAAAUAUAUUUUGGUCUAUGACAAGGCUCCAAGUCUUACAAGGAGGAGGGGAAAGGGGAGAGCUUGAGAGUGAACAUCAUUCUCACCUGACUAAUAUCUCAUCAGUAAAACUCUGGAUCUUAGGGACCAAAAAAAAAAAAAAAAAAAAAAA
rnacentral:lncRNA from 1 species